rnacentral:tRNA from 1 species
GGAUCUAUAGUGUAGUGGCCUAUCACGUCUCCCUGUCACGGAGAAGAUCGCGGGUUCAAAUCCCGCUAGAUCCGCCA